CCUACGGGUGACAGCAGUGGGGGAUAUUGCACAAUGGGGGGAACCCUGAUGCAGCGACGCCGCGUGGGUGAAGGAGUGCUUCGGCAUGUAAAGCCCUAUCGGCAGGGAAGAAGCAAGACGGUACCUGACUAAGAAGCCCCGGCUAACUACGUGCCAGCAGCCGCGGUAAUACGUCGGGGGCGAGCGUUAUCCGGAUUCACUGGGUGUAAAGGGAGCGUAGACGGCCAUGCAAGCCAGGGGUGAAAGCCCGGGGCCCAACCCCGGGACUGCCCUUGGAAGUGGGCGGCUAGAGUGCGGGAGGGGCAGGCGGAAUUCCUGGUGUAGCGGAGAAAUGCGUAGAUAUCAGGAGGAACACCGGCGGCGAAGGCGGCCUGCUGGACUGCGACUGACGUUGAGGCUCGAAAGCGUGGGGAGCGAACAGGAUUAGAUACCCCUGUAGUC
rnacentral:rRNA from 1 species